UACGUUUCAUUGGAUUUAUUGAUAUCUGCCUGCGGGAUUCUAACACUGGUUCAGUAAAAUUUCAAAUUAAAUAGUAAAUUCUAGAAUAAAUGAGUUAGUUUUAUGGUUUUAUCAAUAAUAAAGUGUACAACAGAUCCAUCUUACGCCGACAUGAGGCCGACAACGCUAGAACAACCAGUCGAUGAUAUUCUAGGCGAGAUGCUGCUAUUCUUUAUCAAGUAAUAGAUAGUGGAUUUGUUUGACUUGGCAAGAGUAGGCUUUGAUUUGAAUACCAGAAAUAUAGUGCAGUCUUUCACAGCUUGAAGGGAAAUAAAAGCUGUGCAGACUAUUCAUAAUAAUGUUCACCCAAGGUCAUGGGCAAUAUGACGUGAAUAGGAAACUGCAUGUCAGACAUUAACUUAAUGUUCUAUAUUAUUUUUAAACAAAUGAAUCUAAUAUUUUAAGACAAUAAAUAAAUAUUUAUUUUUAUAAUUAGCCCAGUUUUUCGUCGACGAAGCCAUCUUAAGAGAAGCUUCAUUGCAAAUAUCAGGCCGAUAUUUAACUAUAGCGGACAACAAACAAGAGUAGACACAUCGUGAGCUGUAGUUGUAGAAAGAGGAGAAAAUGGAAACUAAGGCGAACCACUGGCUCAUGCAGCUUUCAUUUCAGCAGAGGCUGCUCGUACGCAGGCAGAGGCCGCGCAUCUUCCAGCUGAGAUAUAUAAAAAAAUUCAAGGAAUUGACCAAUAACGGCAAAAACCUUGUAUAAAAUAAUAAGUUCAAUUUUGUUUUAAUUUUAGCUGAGUCAAUAAUAGUUUAUAUUACCAUAAAAACGAAAUAGCGCUUGUUACAAUAGUCAAGCAAAUCCAAAUAUAUACGUUUUACUUUAGGCUGGUACUACAGUAAAUUUUAUGACACUAAUGAGUAUAUUUUACGCUAAUAAAACUACUCUCAACUUAGCAUUUCAAAAUGACUAUUUAUUUUUUUAUUGCUAAGAUGGGUGAACGAGCUUACAGCCCACCUGGUGUUAAGUGGUUACUGGAGCCCAUAGCCAUCUACAACGUAAAUGCGCCACCCACCUUGAGAUAUAAGUUCUAAGGUCUCAGUAUAGUUACAACGGCUGCUCUACCCUUCAAAACGAAACGCAUUACAGCUUCACGGUAGAAAUAGGCGGAAUGGUUGUACCUACUCGUGCAGACUCACAAUUGGUCCUACCACCAGUAGAAUACCAGUAUUUAGCUUCAUUGUAUAUUUUGUAUUCACAGUAUUCGGCAUGUUCUGCUUCUAGUCUAUAGGGUUAUAGAGUUAUCACCUUGCUAUCAUCCUACUUACAUCGGCAGUCGAUAUUAUAUUUCAAUUGUGGCUUCAAUUUCAUGCGGCAAGAAGUUGGACAUGUAUUACAAACAAACUACGAUUUCCUAAUUUAAGAAUUAUUAUUCAAAUAAAACAAAAUUACACAAAAAAAUUUAUUAUCAAACUUAUCUAACGGCCCUCUGGUGUAAUGGUAAGUGACAUGGUCGCUACACAAGGGGGUCGCGAGUUCGAAUUCCGCCAAGGGAAGAUAUUUGUAUGAUAAAUAUAAAUGUCUUUUCCAGGGUUAUGGAUUUAUAUUAAAUACUAGCUGACCCGGCAAACGUUGUGUUGCCUUAAAUAAGAUUUCUAGGGAAAUUCUACUGUAGAAAAAAAAAACAUAAUACCUCAUUAUAAACAAAAAAAAUAUAUCCAAAAAAUUAAAAUUAAAAAUAAAUGUUUGGGGUGGACAACCCUUUUCACUUAGGGGUAUGAAAAAUAGAUAGUAGCCGAUUCUCAGACCUACUGAACAUACUAUUUAUACACAAAUAAAACCAAAAAAACAUAGCUGAAAAAUGUAUAGUAUUGUAUAGCUCUCAAAUAUAUUAAGUGUAUAAUCUAUGAUGUAUAGUGAGUAAGUAAGACAGGAGACCGGCUUCGUCUUCAUCCUGGCGACACCUGGCGGGGAUAGCUGAUCGAUUGAUAGUUGAUCAGUAGUCGACCGGCGAGGGCGGGAGAUCAAAUUCAAUUUAAAAAACAUAAAUUAAAGGAACUUGAAAUUAUAAACUCUGAAUAAGAAUUUAUCGUACUACAAUUAUAAUAUUUGAUUGCCAUCUUGCAACCUUAUUGCGGAUUUGUGCAUAGAAUAAAAAAAAUAUUAAUCGGGAUGGAAAAAUAGGGGUUGAUCGUAUAAGAGUGAAAAUUGAGAUUAAUAUGAUUUUUUUUUAAUUUUUAGUAAUGACAAAACAAAAUAAAAAACUUGACAAAAAAAUUAAAGUUUAUAAUUAACAAAUAAAAAAGGGGUUGAUCAUAGAGGGAUGAAAAAUUGAGAGUAACAUCAGAUUUUUUAUUUUAAUUCAUGAUAAAAUAAAAAUAAAAAUGAAAAUCUUGCCAAAAAAAUUAAAGUUAACAAAUAAAAUAUAGGGGUUGAUCGUAGAGGGGUGAAAAUUUCAGAGUAAUAUGAAUUUUAUUAUUCUACGUCAUGACAAAAUAAAAACAAAAUUCUCGCAAAAUAUUUUAAAGUUUUUAAUUAGCAAAUUAAAAAUAAGGGUUGAUCGUAGAAGGGUGAAAAUUAAGGAUUGUAUGUAUUUUUGUAUGUUGUAUCAUAAAAAAAUAGAAAUUAAAAAUUGUGUCUAAAAAAUAAAUAAAUAAAUUUAGGGGUGGACUACCCCUAACAUUUAGGGGGAUGAAAAAUAGAUGUUGGCCGAUUCUCAUAGAUACCGGAUAAGCACAAAAAAUUUCAUCAAAAUCGGUCAAGCCGUUUCGGAGGAGUAUGGCAACGAAAACUGUGACACGAGAAUUUUAUAUAUUAGAUAUGUAUGUGUAUAAUAAAAAUCCUACAUUUAUUUCCGUUAUCUGGUACCUGUAACACAAGUUCUUUACGAACUUAUCACGGGACCAGUUAAAUAUUUAUAUUAUUAUUAUUAUCACAAUGAACAAAAAUCAGUGGUGGUUGAUCAACAUUUUGUCUAAAUUAUGAAUUAUGUUUUUCAUUUUGUAAGUAAUAUUCAUGUAAUCAUGUAAUCAUCAAUUCAUGUAAUAAAAUGUAUCCAACAACAUCUAGAAGAAUUAUGAAUUACUAGUCGAUUUGUUAUUCAUUCUAUUCCAUUAUGUAAAACAGCAGUAUAUACAAUAAUAUAUAUAUAACAACACAACAUACAAACGGGGUUAACAUAAAGAUAAAAUGAUACAGAACAAAUUGAGCACGACAGAUUAAAACAUUGUCUUAAUAAAACAACCUCACAAUUUUGCUUUCAAAUAGUUAUGAAUCCAUCCUUUACUAUAAACACAAAAAUGUUAAGGAAAUAUGUAUAUUUCCACUAAGCACAAUUAAAAAAAUAUAGGCAGAAAUAAUUAGGCUAUUCUUGCCCUCUCAGUUCACAUAAUUAAGAACAGCAGUUUUAAAAAUAUCUACAUAAAAUUACUAGAAUACAGAGGUUGAGACUAAAUUUAAUGUCUGUUCUCCACAAUCCAAUUGAACCACCCUUGAAUGUUGACAUGGUGCUAAGUGCUGUGUUUCCUCUUCUCUCCCAAAAAAUACAAUGUUAUGAAUUUGAUAAGAAACAUCAAUUUCAGCAUCUUCGUCAGAGUUGGGGCACUGGAAACCCAUGUGUGUUUGCCAUGUUAUACAAUACAAGCUAACAAUUAUGGUCUUGGCCAUCAUAUGAUGAUCAUAAUGCAGUACUCUAUGUACCAACAAGCAUCUCCAACUGGCUUUCAAUACUCACAAUGGUCAAGUGUUCCUGGUAUGACAAUAAACAUUACUAUAGUACUAUAUAUUAACUGCCUUCCCAGUUUUAAAUAUACUUUUAGAUUGAGUAUUAUUUAGUAGUCAGGUUACUGAGACAGAGCUCAUGAUGUUUUACUUGCCUAAAAACCAAACCUUUUUCACUAUUAUGGUGCAGGUCCUGCAUAGACAUAUUCAGUUGUGAUAAGCCAGACAAAUGUAUCAUGAAAUGUUGCAUCAAUACUAAAAAUGUUAAGAUCACUAUCACAUAUCUGAAAAAUUUAAUUCUUUAGAUAAGUACUAUCAAAUGUUUGUUAUUGUGAAUGAUAGGCUUCAGCAAAAUACUUACUAUUUGCACAUUCUUGAAAUGAUAAUGCUUGCGGUUCUAAAACCUUUCUUCAUAUACAGAAGAUCUGAUAAGUGCAAAUGAGUGCCAUCUAUA